GUCACAUAAGAGAACCCUCCUGAACUACUGAUGAGUCAAGGGCAGCCUUCAUGCAAGAACAACUCAAUCAGCCAUUCCAGGUGGGUAGCAAGGAAGGACAAUGUCUUGAUCUCUAAGGAGUUAUUAAAAGCCUGAUGCUUUGCUUCCUCUCCUCCUGCCCUUGGACAUCAGACUGCAAGUUCUUCUGCCUUUGGACUCUGGGACUUGCACCAGUGGCCUCCUGGGGGCUCUUGGGCCUUUGGCAUCAGACUGAAGCCUCUACUGUCGGCCUACCUGGUUUUGAGGCUUUCAGACUUGAACUGACCACUCUACUGGCUUUUCCCAUUCUUCAGCUUGCACAUAGCCUAUCAUUCACCUUUGUAAUGGUAUGAGCCAAUUUUCCCUAAUAAACUGUCAUAUAUAUAUAUA
rnacentral:lncRNA from 1 species